ACAACGGAGAUUUUCAUAGAAUUCCACCCUACUUUUGUAAAAAAAAAAAAAGAAAGAAAGAAAGAAAGAAAGAAAGAAAGAAAGAAAGAAAAAGAAAAGAAAGCAGAAUGAGGCAGACUUGUAAGAUGAAUAUGCUGAAAUAAAGUCACCAUUUAUCUCCUCUGAACGCCAUACUGUAAAAUCAAGUGUGCACAGGUCUGGUGAAGGCUAUCAUUUAAAUGUAAAUGUUUGGGGACAGCAGUCAAAAUUCUACUCGUGUUGAAGGGAGUCUUUCUUCUUCUUUUUUUAAUGUCAAAACUCACAAUGUAUAAUUUUCAACUUGAUUUUUUUUUGCCUCGAAGCAGCCCUGGUUUAUACGACAGUGUUGUGGGGGUUCACUGUUGUAAAGUUUCUUCUUGAAGAAGGCAAUUACCAAGGGAAAAUCACUGCCAUGCGGCACACACAGACAUUCUGAGAAAAAAUGCCCAGAAUAUGCGAACGUGAUUGCAAAUAAACGACUCGUGUGGCGCGGAGGAAAUGAGCGAGCGCAUACCGAAACAGACUGGUGUUUGAUUCCGUGGCAAGAUAAAAUUUGCAUGGAGGAAAAUCUCCCCAACACCUUUGCCUCGAAGGUUCCCAUCUGUCUUCCUGA
ensembl:antisense Gm26801 predicted gene, 26801